rnacentral:rRNA from 1 species
GCCAUAAACUAAGAUAGAAAAAUACAACCUAUCCGCCAAAGAAUACGAGCAAAAUGCUUAAAACUUAAAGGACUUGGCGGCAUUUCACAUAAAUCUAGAGGAGCCCGUCCUAUAAUCGAUAUUACGCGUUAAACCAAACCACUUUUGGCCACUCCAGCCUAUAUACCGCCGUCGCCAGCUAACCUUGUGAAAGACAAAAAGUUAGCAAAACAGCCAUCACUAAAACGUCAGGUCAAGGUGUAGCUAAUAAAGUGGAUGAGAUAGGCUACAUUUUUUGACACAAAAAACACGGACGGUACAAUGAAAUCUUGUACCCAAAGGUGAAUUUAGCAGUAAAAUUAGAAAGAGCUCUAAUUUUAACACCACCCUGAAAUGCGCACACACCGCCCGUCACCCUCCUCAAAAAAUUAGAUGAGGUAAGUCGUAACAUGGUAGGCGUACUGGAAAGUGCGCCUGGACUAA